AUUGAACGCUGGCGGCAUGCCUAACACAUGCAAGUCGAACGGCAGCACGGCAGUAGCAAUACUGUGGGUGGCGAGUGGCGGACGGGUGAGGAAUACGUCGGAAUCUGCCCAGUCGUGGGGGAUAACUAGCCGAAAGGUUAGCUAAUACCGCAUACGACCGAGAGGUGAAAGCGGGGGACCGCAAGGCCUCGCGCGAUUGGAUGAGCCGACGUCGGAUUAGCUAGUUGGAGGGGUAAAGGCCCACCAAGGCGACGAUCCGUAGCUGGUCUGAGAGGAUGAUCAGCCACACUGGAACUGAGACACGGUCCAGACUCCUACGGGAGGCAGCAGUGGGGAAUAUUGGACAAUGGGCGCAAGCCUGAUCCAGCAAUGCCGCGUGUGUGAAGAAGGCCUCGGUUGUAAGCGACUUUAUUCUAGGAACGAAAGACGUUAGGAGUUAA
rnacentral:rRNA from 1 species